UGCAGUCGAGGGGCAGCAUAAUGGAUAGCAAUAUCUAUGGUGGCGACCGGCGCACGGGUGCGUAACGCGUAUGCAACCUACCUUUAACAGGGGGAUAACACUGAGAAAUUGGUACUAAUACCCCAUAAUAUCAUAGAAGGCAUCUUUUAUGGUUGAAAAUUCCGAUGGUUAGAGGUGGGCAUGCGUUGUAUUAGCUAGUUGGUGGGGUAACGGCUCACCAAGGCGACGAUACAUAGGGGGACUGAGAGGUUAACCCCCCACACUGGUACUGAGACACGGACCAGACUCCUACGGGAGGCAGCAGUGAGGAAUAUUGGUCAAUGGACGCAAGUCUGAACCAGCCAUGCCGCGUGCAGGAUGACGGCUCUAUGAGUUGUAAACUGCUUUUGUACGAGGGUAAACGCAGAUACGUGUAUCUGUCUGAAAGUAUCGUACGAAUAAGGAUCGGCUAACUCCGUGCCAGCAGCCGCGGUAAUACGGAGGAUUCAAGCGUUAUCCGGAUUUAUUGGGUUUAAAGGGUGCGUAGGCGGUUUGAUAAGUUAGAGGUGAAAUUUCGGGGCUCAACCCUGAACGUGCCUCUAAUACUGUUGAGCUAGAGAGUAGUUGCGGUAGGCGGAAUGUAUGGUGUAGCGGUGAAAUGCUUAGAGAUCAUACAGAACACCGAUUGCGAA
rnacentral:rRNA from 1 species